GUUUUAAUAGUUUAAAUAAAAACUUUGGUCUUGUAAACCAAUAAUGAAUAAAUUUUUCUUAAAACU
rnacentral:tRNA from 1 species